AACGAACGCUGGCGGCGCGCCUAAUACAUGCAAGUCGAGCGAGAAGACGUAGCAAUACGUUUGUAAAGCGGCGAACGGGUGAGGAAUACAUGGGUAACCUACCCUCGAGUGGGGAAUAACUAGCCGAAAGGUUAGCUAAUACCGCGUACGCUCCUUGGACUUCGGUUCGGGGAGGAAAGCGAUACCGUGGGUAUCGCGCUCUUGGAUGGGCUCAUGUCCUAUCAGCUUGUUGGUGAGGUAACGGCUCACCAAGGCUUCGACGGGUAGCUGGUCUGAGAGGACGAUCAGCCACACUGGCACUGCGACACGGGCCAGACUCCUACGGGAGGCAGCAGUAAGGAAUAUUGCGCAAUGGGCGAAAGCCUGACGCAGCGACGCCGCGUGGGGGAUGAAGGUCUUCGGAUUGUAAACCCCUUUCGGGAGGGAAGAUGGAAUGGGGUAACCCAUUCGGACGGUACCUCCAGAAGCAGCCACGGCUAACUACGUGCCAGCCGCCGCUGUAACAC
rnacentral:rRNA from 1 species